GAUGAACGCUGGCGGCGUGCCUAAUACAUGCAAGUCGAGCGAACAGACGAGGAGCUUGCUCCUCUGACGUUAGCGGCGGACGGGUGAGUAACACGUGGAUAACCUACCUAUAAGACUGGGAUAACUUCGGGAAACCGGAGCUAAUACCGGAUAAUAUAUUGAACCGCAUGGUUCAAUAGUGAAAGACGGUUUUGCUGUCACUUAUAGAUGGAUCCGCGCCGCAUUAGCUAGUUGGUAAGGUAACGGCUUACCAAGGCGACGAUGCGUAGCCGACCUGAGAGGGUGAUCGGCCACACUGGAACUGAGACACGGUCCAGACUCCUACGGGAGGCAGCAGUAGGGAAUCUUCCGCAAUGGGCGAAAGCUUGACGGAGCAGCGCCGCGUGAGUGAUGAAGGUCUUCGGAUCGUAAAACUCUGUUAUUAGGGAAGAACAAAUGUGUAAGUAACUAUGCACGUCUUGACGGUACCUAAUCAGAAAGCCACGGCUAACUACGUG
rnacentral:rRNA from 1 species